GGGGUUGGCUCAGUACAUGAGUAGAGUCUGGAGUUUGGGGCCUGUGCCUGCCGGUGCCGUUUGAUGCUGAAAGAGAUACCACAUCUGCAAUGUGAGUCCCUCCUCUUCUCUGCCAAGGCAUGUCCUCACUAGGGCUGUUCCCCCUGAUGCAGAAAAGACAUACCGCAUACCUCAAGAUGUCUUUAUGGGCCAUUGGCCCCUGGCCUGUCUUCUCUGGGAAUAUUGUGUCUGGAUGGGUGUCAUUGACCUAGCCCUGGUUUGUGAGUGCUAGAAAGGAGGAAGGGAACAUGAGGAGAAGGAGAAUGGAGAACACACACCUAAGAGUUUUUCCUUCAAAUUGGAAUAAGCUCCAGGGGCCCACCCACUGCUAUCAUUAUGAUGUCACAGAAAGGAACAGCCAGAGCAGGGGGAAGAAAUUCAUGAAGUCAUCUGGCCCAAAGCCUUCUUCGAUCUUCCAUACCACCAGGAUGGCAGAGGUUGGUGCAUGUUUCUGACAACUGAGCUCUUGAAUACCCGAGACCACACAGCAGCAACGCUGGGGGAUGAACUCACUGAGCUGGUGCCCAGCUGCUCAUCUGGGAAGUUCUACCGGGUUCUCACUUGUAAUCAGCAAACCCAGACUCCUCACCUUAGAGACUAUCAGACCAAGCUUCUCUUGGGAUCCUUGAAGAUGGCUGGACGUUGCAAGCGACGCUAUACAGAGAAAUCGCAUCCCAGAGUGACAACGGAGGUUUCCCUGGGAUGUGUUUUGUGCUGUUUGAGCAGGAGUGAAAGCAUGUGACUUUUUAAAGGGAAACCUCAGGAAGGGAGAGUGGAAGUGGAGACAUUGCCAUAAUGCUCAGAAGGCACCCUCAGCGGAUUUGGAGAGUCUUCCUGAAGCCUCUGCUGGGAGGGGAGAGGGAGAAGCCACCGUGGGCUUGUGUGACUUUGGACACCGUGUUCGAAGGGAAGCCGUGUGACCCUUUCCCCCUCACUCCAGCCCAGCCUCACGGCAUCCAGCAGCCACCACUCGCCUCCUGAUUGCCGUACCUUUCUGCAGCCUGGAGAUUUGCAUUGUAAAUGCUGUUUGUUAGGCCCCUGAAAUAAUAUUAAUCACCGUAAAACAAUUACGUUGCAUAAUUUGUACAUAAAAAAGAAAGAGUGAACCUUUUGCUUGAA